AUGAGUACCUGUAAAAAGGCCAGGGCGGAAGCUACGUCUGUUGUGAGUCCAGACAGACUGAGCUGUCUACCUCGAGAGAUAAAGGGCGAAAUCCUCUCCCAUUUGAACAUCGAAGAAGCAAUUAGGACUAGCACCUUAUCAAGUAUUUGGAGGGAUGCAUGGACUGAUACGCCAAAGAUAUUUCUGCGUGAUGGAAAUUUUCCAAGAACCAAGUUCGUUAUGUUGGUCGAAAUGGUGCUAUCACUCCACAAGGGAACAAUAGAGAAGUUUGAUAUAUCAGGUGAAGGAAGUUACCAUGAUGAGUUCGCUAGGUGGAUGCUCAUGCUGUCAAGGAGAUCACCAAAAUCAGUUAUAAUCAAUUUGAACUCAUGGCCAAGGUAUAGGAUUCCCUCAUGCCUCUUUUCUGUUGCUGAUCUGAAGUCUCUUCGCCUGGAAAACUGCAUUAUCAGCUUGCCCCGGGAAUUCGAAGGUUUCAAGAGCCUAACUUACCUUAGCCUGAACAUUUUCUCCUCCACAGACAGGGAUAUUCAAUAUCUGGUCUCCUUUUGCCCUGUACUGACUAAUUUGAGAUUAAGUUCUUUCGAGGGUAUCGACUGUCUAAAUAUUCAAGCUCCUAAACUGAAAUAUCUUCGUGUUAAUGGGGACUUUGUAUACAUUAAAUUGGAUGUCCCAAAUCUGAAAUGGGCCAUUCUCUCUCUUCGUCACGAAGUUAAAGCAUAUCAAUCUGUUCCAAUUGUCCAUGACAAGGAAAGCUAUCUCAAGCAGUCAUUGGGAAGCCUAAGUGACAUCGAAACACUUUCAGUUAGUGGUUUUUUCCUGAAGUAUCUAUCAAAUGGAUGCAUGCAUACGAAGCUCCCUGUCGUGUUUCGUCGCUUGGAGAAUAUUUAUCUUGGCAUAUGCUUUUGGGACCAAAGCGAAGUCUCGGCUGCUUGUUCAUUGUUUCAGAAAGCCCCUAACCUAAAGAUGCUUGAGCUAUGGAGUUACCCUUUGGGCCUGUCGGAUCAGGAUCAGGUAAGCAUUACUGUGCAAGUGCAAAUGGACCAUCUCAUAACGGCCAGUGUGGAAGAUUUCGGGGGUCUGGACUACGAAAUCAAUUUCGUGGCAAAGCUUCUGAGCUGGGCACCAGCUUUGGAAAAACUGAAUAUAAAGUGGAACGGCGAAACGGACUGCGGCAGGGUUCUUGCCAAGCUAUUAGCGCUGCCGAGGGUGUCUCCCAGGGCCAAGGUCACUGUUACAUUCUGA
rnacentral:rRNA from 1 species